rnacentral:rRNA from 1 species
UACAGAGACUUCAAGCGUUAUCCGAAUUUAUUGGGCGUAAAGGGUCCGCAGGUGGCUAUGCACGUCACGGGUUAAAUCGUUGGGCUCAACCCAACGGCUGCUCGUGAUACGACAAGCUUGAGGCUGGGAGAGGUAAGCGGAAUUGCCGGUGUAGUAGUAAAAUGCGUUAAUAUCGGCAAGAACACCAAAUGCGAAGGCAGCUUACUGGAACAAGCCUGACACUCAGGGACGAAAGCGUGGGUAGCGAAAGGG